UAGGCCUUUUGAUAAAAUUUGGUUACAAGUAUAUAAUAAAGGAUGAUUUUUGUGAUAUCAUUAUGAAUGAUACUACAAUUAUGCAUGGAUAAUUGAAACAUGGCAUAUACAUAAUAUCACGGCCGGUUAGUAUAAUGUACACACCCAGUAAACAUCCUAAACUAAAUAAUGUCAGUGAAUCCUAUCUUUGGCAUUGUAGGCUUGGUCAUGUGAAUAAGAAUAGGAUUGACAGAUUGAUCAAGGAACAUGUUCUUGUGAUAGAUGAUUGUGAAUCAUUGCCUAUCUGC
rnacentral:lncRNA from 1 species